AACACGGUUGUGGAUUAGUUAGUUUUCUUGUGCGUGCUCCUGUUGAUUCACCUUCAGACACGAUUAACUAGCUUCGAUGCACGGGCACCUUCUCAUGGCCAGCGAGCGGCGCCUUGACCGGGGACGCCGAGGUGGCGGCGACCCGGCACGCGGGACGCGCUGCGGGCUUGCGGGUUCCUGUACGGUGCGGCGUUGGUGCCGGCGCUGCGGCUCAUGUGCGGAUACAUGGCGGCGCGGAGCUGGGCUGCCGCACGCGCUACUGCUGCUCACAGGGUACGCCGGGAUCAGCCGCGACGCCACGGGGGCUCCGCGGGCAAGACGAUGGCCUGGGCCGACCACGAGUUUGACUAGCUCUCCGCCAUGGCCACCGCGCUGCUCAACGCCAUCGCCGACGGGAGUUAGCCGGCCGACAGGGCGCUCGCCCUGCCGUUGGUGGACGUAUUUGUUAGAAUGAUGGUAUGUCUGGGUAAUUGGAAGCAUCAACUUGAGGAAGCUUGCUACUGCCUAAUCAUUAGAGAGGCCCUAUGCUGGGAGAAAGCAACCAUGUGCAUUCUAUUUUAAGCACUGCCCAGGUGCUCUGUAGUUUGUAUAUGGGUAGCAAAGGGCGUUGUAUAUGUCCUCUCAAUAAUCUAAGUUUCGUAGUCAAACGUUUCCAUUUAUUGAUGAUGAACAAAUAACAUGAGCGUUUGGAUACAGUGUCAGCCUGGAAUGAUGUGUUCUGGAGACCAAGAAGCUCAUCAAGACAAAUUUCCAGGACAUGCUGAAUUUCACAAAGCUUGAGGCUUCUGACUGCAGACUCUAAUGAACCAAAGUGGAUUCAAUUCUAAAGAAAACAGUUUCGUAUCCGGCUCAAUUUUGCCAUGACGGUCAACAAGUCACAAGGUCAGACUAUUCUUAACGUUGGUGUUUACCUCCCUGACCUUGUGUUCUCGCAUGGGCAACCGUAUGUUGCAAUGUUGAGGGCUACCACUAGAACAAACAUCAGGAUUCUGGCACUUCCACCUAAUGCCACUGAGCAGGAGGAAGAAGCUAAAAAGGAGAAGAAAAAUGCCAACAAAAGGGGUAAGGAGACCUUUAAUAACAAGAAAGAAAAGAAAAAGACCCCAGCGUAUAAUGGUACAUAUACGAAGAAUAUUGUAUACAAGGAGAUCCUAACGGCAUAGUUCAGAGGCAGGUCAUUUAACUUUUUUUAUCAUGGGUAUUUAUAUAUCCCACUAGGGAUGUGUAUGAUGAGGGAUUUGCAACGUCACAGAAAAUGAUCUCGUUCGGACCAUAUGGCGAGAUUUUGUGAAAAAGAAAUAUUUGUUGGGUACGGGCAGGACCAGGAGCGCCCGACCCGGUACAACUCCAAAGGGAACCAGCAGGCUCAACCUGGAGGACCAUGACGAGCGCGUCAACAAGUCCCGCCCAGCCCAGCAGGACAAACAGAUCCGGAAAGCCAAGCAAGAGUGUACAACGAAGUUCAACCGAGAGCACGCACUCGGUCAUUUAAGCUGGCUCCCCGCGCGUAUGCUUUCUCAAGGUGCUACUAAACUCGCUGUGCAUUUGAUUGCAUAUUUCUUUUAUUGACUUGUAAAUCAUAUUAUAUUUGGUCAUGUCAGCAAAUCACAUAUUAUUGUUCCGUUGAUGACGUGUAAUGCACUUUCUUAUAUUGAAUAUUA